rnacentral:rRNA from 1 species
GACGAACGCUGGCGGCGUGCCUAAUACAUGCAAGUCGAACGCACUCUCGUUUAGCUUGAAGGAGUUUGCUCCUGAUUGAUCAACAUUUGAGUGAGUGGCGGACGGGUGAGUAACACGUGGGUAACCUGCCCUAACGUGGGGGAUAACCUUUGGAAACAGAUGCUAAUACCGCAUAAAACCUAACACCGCAUGGUGUAGGGUUGAAAGAUGGUUUCGGCUAUCACUUUAGGAUGGACCCGCGGUGCAUUAGUUAGUUGGUGAGGUAAAGGCUCACCAAGACCGUGAUGCAUAGCCGACCUGAGAGGGUAAUCGGCCACACUGGGACUGAGACACGGCCCAGACUCCUACGGGAGGCAGCAGUAGGGAAUCUUCCACAAUGGACGAAAGUCUGAUGGAGCAACGCCGCGUGAGUGAAGAAGGUUUUCGGAUCGUAAAACUCUGUUGUUGGAGAAGAAUGUAUCUGAUAGUAACUGAUCAGGUAGUGACGGUAUCCAACCAGAAAGCCACGGCUAACUACGUG